rnacentral:rRNA from 1 species
GUAGUCAUAUGCUUGUCUCAGAGAUUAAGUCAUGCAUGUCCAAGUACAUACCUUCAAACGGUGAAACCGCGAAUGGCUCAUUAAAUCAGCUAUGGUUCCUUAGAUCGUACAUACUACAUGGAUAACUGUAGUAAUUCUAGAGCUAAUACAUGCCACUAUGCCCUGACCCGCGAGGGAACGGGUGGAUUUAUUAGAACAGAACCAACCGGGAGUGGCUUCGGUCAUUCCUGUUGCAUUCUGUGAUGACUCUGGAUAACUUCACUGAUCGCAGUCGGCCUUGUGUCGGCGACGGAUCCUUCAAAUGUCUGCCCUAUCAAUUUACGAUGGUAGGUGACCUGCCUACCAUGGUUCCAACGGGUAACGGGGAAU